AUUUUACCCCAGUGAAAAAGGCUUGUAAUCCACCCUUCCUCAACCUGGAAGAUAUGUUUUGUUCCUAACCAAUCCAUUCUCUAAGUGAAGUGAAGCCUGGCUGCUGGUCUUCCUUUGGGAAAUAUACAUCCUCAAACCUGGAAGAUAUGUUUUGUUCCUAACCAAUCCAUUCUCUAAGUGAAGUGAAGCCUGGCUGCUGGUCUUCCUUUGGGAAAUACACAGGGAAAAGAAAAAAAACUACUUGAGUGUUUCUACUGACCCCCUCCAGGGAUCUGCUUAUGAGUGCAUGGGGAUUGCUGUGGACCUUCAUCUCCUGUUUAAAACAGACUUUAGAGUAUGACAGAU